UCGAUUUGGAGUUUGUUGCCCUGAGUGAUGGGCUCCGAAGCUAACGCGAUAAAUCGACCGCCUGGGGAGUACGGCCGCAAGGUUAAAACUCAAAUGAAUUGACGGGGGCCCGCACAAGCGGUGGAGCAUGUGGUUUAAUUCGAUGCAACGCGAAGAACCUUACCUGGUCUUGACAUCCACAGAAUCUUGCAGAGAUGCGAGAGUGCCUUCGGGAACUGUGAGACAGGUGCUGCAUGGCUGUCGUCAGCUCGUGUUGUGAAAUGUUGGGUUAAGUCCCGCAACGAGCGCAACCCUUAUCCUUUGUUGCCAGCGGUUCGGCCGGGAACUCAAAGGAGACUGCCGUUGAUAAAGCGGAGGAAGGUGGGGACGACGUCAAGUCAUCAUGGCCCUUACGACCAGGGCUACACACGUGCUACAAUGGCGUAUACAAAGGGAGGCGACCUCGCGAGAGCAAGCGGACCUCACAAAGUACGUCUAAGUCCGGAUUGGAGUCUGCAACUCGACUCCAUGAAGUCGGAAUCGCUAGUAAUCGUGAAUCAGAAUGUCACGGUGAAUACGUUCCCGGGCCU
rnacentral:rRNA from 1 species